rnacentral:rRNA from 1 species
UACGUACGAGGCAAGCGUUAUCCGGAAUUACUGGGCGUAAAGCGCGCGCAGGCGGACGUUUAAGUAGGGCGUGAAAUCUCCCGGCCUAACUGGGAGGGGGUCGCUCUAGACUGGGCGUCUUGAGGACUGCAGAGGUGGGUGGAAUUCCUGGUGUAGUGGUGAAAUGCGUAGAGAUCAGGAGGGAAACACCGGUGGCGAAGGGCGGCCC